rnacentral:lncRNA from 1 species
GGUUGUACAUGCCUCCUUACUUAAAAUAUCCUCCCUCUCUGUCUCUGGAGCCAUACGCGAGGAGGAGGAGCUUGGGUGGAGCGUUCGUCGCCGACGUCGCAUCGCCGAGCCGUUUGAGCGCACGUUUGUCGCCGUAGCGUCGCGUGGAGGCCGGGCGAGGGUGCGUUUUUAUCGUCCUCAAUGUCGCACCGGCGCUGGAUUCGCUGUCGAUGUGGGUACCUAACUUUCCUCCUUGGAUUACUUGAACGCACGGUUUUGAGCUCGCGUGCUGAUUUUACUGAUUUUCAGCAUCGACCGUCAGUGUUUUGGCUCGUACUCGGCGUAGGAACGUCGGAUUUCGACGGGACUUGGUUCGUUGGAUUCAGAACUUCGAGAGGAAUCCACGAAGCCCUUAUUUGCUGGAUUUGGUGAAGGUUUGCUAGGUCGUAUCCCUAUUUCUUUCUGCUGCUGCUGUUUUGGGUAGAAUUGAUGCUUAAUAUGGGUUUCUAUGUUUAGACCCGUGGAGCGUGUUGUCGUUGGUUCGGGGAGCUACGCCGAGCUUGACAGGGACUCCGGUGACCUUCUUCACCAUCGGGGAUUUGCGAUUAAGGUGGGUUAAUCAUCGGUUUACUCCUAAGUGCCUAUAUAGUCGACAUGUAAUUGUGGAAUUAUCUUGUGUGGCGCAAUUACUCGGUUCAUUGAUUUAGUAUGGUUAAUAAUCUGAAUUGGAGCUGAGUUAUUAUCUUUGGAUAUAUAUAUACAUGUUGGACUUGGAUAAGACUUAGGAGAAAACUCGCGAUUAUGAUCGUCAUAUAUUUAAACUACCUGAUUUAGCCCUAGGAGCCGUUGUAUUAUUUUAUACUGUAACAGUAUCUCCAUAGUGAGUAUUCCAGAUAGUUUAGCUUUCAGUUACGCUCGUGCCGGGAUGCCGAAUAUAUUUUUACAGUAGCGUUCAGGCUGUUCCGGACUGUUGGGUGCCGUCGGGGUUGACGGUGGACCCGUAUCGCCUUUUUGGCGUCGGAUUGUGCCGAGAGCACGUUACCUGUUGGUUGUUAGACCAGUUUGAGUCGGUUACUGGACUUUGGCUUUUGAGAGCCGAUUGAGCUCGACAGAGAUACGCUGCAUACUCGGUUGGGUAGCUCCCACGAGUGCCACUCCGAAAACGGGCGUUGUGUUUUCGCGUUGGUGUCGCUCAUGCCGGUUGGACUUGCUCUCCACGGACUAGUAGUGUGGAGGUAGCUGGAUAGUCACAACUAGGCAGGGACGGCUGUGUUCACAGUCCCAGGGACGGGUAUGCUUACAGUCCCGAUUGGAUUGGGUCAGAUUUGACAUUUUCUAUAGUUGGUUAGUGUAGAGCAUGAUAGUGUAGUGAUAAAUAGCGGUAGAUUUUAUUCCUGUAUUUACUACUAUCCUGUCUCCCUUCUGUAGAUUUCGUGGGUGGACCGAUGUUGUUUAGGGCCGCACCCACUGAGGACUACUUGUUUUUACAGUAGUUCUCACGCCAAGUUGUUACCCCUGUUUUGCAGAGCCACAGGUUUCGGCUGCUGCGCCUUCCGCGGAUCAGGAUCGAGGCAAGGGCGUCGCGAGUUAGAGCCCUACCCGACGAGCUGAGCUAGAGGCACUCCUACUGCAGGUAGACGUUUUGUUUCAAGUUUAUGUACAUAGCAUACUUAACUCGCCAGUGCGAGUAGCUCUGUAUUUUGGAUUUGGGC